rnacentral:rRNA from 1 species
GACGAACGCUGGCGGCGUGCUUAACACAUGCAAGUCGAACGGAAAGGCCCCUUUGGGGGUACUCGAGUGGCGAACGGGUGAGUAACACGUGAGUAACCUGCCCUUGACUUCGGGAUAACUUCAGGAAACUGGGGCUAAUACCGGAUAGGAAUCCUUGCUGCAUGGUGGGGGUUGGAAAGCUUCGGCGGUUUUGGAUGGACUCGCGGCUUAUCAGCUUGUUGGUGGGGUAGUGGCUUACCAAGGCUUUGACGGGUAGCCGGCCUGAGAGGGCGACCGGCCACAUUGGGACUGAGAGACGGCCCAGACUCCUACGGGAGGCAGCAGUGGGGAAUAUUGCACAAUGGGCGGCAGCCUGAUGCAGCAACGCCGCGGGCGGGAUGACGGCCUUCGGGUUGUAAACCGCUUUCAGCAGGGGCGAAGCUUGUGGUGACGGUACCUGCAGAAGAAGCACCGGCUAACUACGUG